UCCGUAGGCGGGCAAUUAAGUCAGAGGUGAAAUCCCACAGCUCAACUGUGGAACUGCCUUUGAUACUGGUUGUCUUGAGUUAUAGUGAAGUAGAUAGAAUAUGUAGUGUGGCGGUGAAAUGCAUAGAUAUUACAUAGAAUACCGAUUGCGAAGGCAGUCUACUAACUGUAUACUGACGCUAAUGGACGAAAGCGUGGGGAGCGAACAGGAUUAGAUACCCUGGUAGUCC
rnacentral:rRNA from 1 species